rnacentral:lncRNA from 1 species
AUUUCUUGUAAUUUUAUUUUUUAUAUUAAUAUUUAGAGAGAAACUAGAUCUAAUUAUGAGCUUUUCAACAAGCUAUAGCAUGCAAGAAAUAGAAUUGUGAGAAAGAAGUUUAAAGCAAAUUUGUGAAAAGAGGAUCGCCUAAAUGUUUGGAAGAUAGGAUUCAAUACGGAUUUUUUCUUUUUAUAUUGAUAUUUUAAAAAAAUCCAAAUUUAAUUGUAAGCUUUCUAAUAAGUCCUAGCAUGUAAGAAAUGGAAUUGUGAAGAGGGAGAUCUGAGAAAAUUUGUAGAAGAAGAUUUCUAGAGUUUUUAGGUAGCAAAUUUCAAGAUUGAUUUAGAAUUUUUGAUGCCAUUUAUUGAAUUAUUUUUUUAAUUCUCAAUGAAUAAAACUUUUCCUAGAUUAAGUUAGUAAUAAAUGAAUUAUAGGUAUUUCAAUGAAAUAAAGUUUAGAUUUGAAAUUAGAGUUAGGAAUUGGAUGCAUCUUAGUACAAGAAAGAAAAUAAUCUAUAAAAUGUAUCUAAUUUUUGAGCUACCCUUUAUAUUUGAUUUCAUUUGAAACAACAUUAUGCCUUUUUUAAACCUAUUUGUGAUGAAUAAUUCUAUAUUUUGCUAAAGAGAUUCAUUCUUGUUACAACAUAUCCUAUGAAAUCAACUUGAAUAGUAAGGAAUACACAUUUUUCCAUCUUUUCAUAUAAUCUUGCAUCUCUAAGUUUUUUUUAACACGUG